rnacentral:rRNA from 1 species
AAGAGAAUUAGUGGUUGGAAGGAAAAAUUACUAUCUACCUGGGGGAAAGAGAUCCUAUUAAAGGUGGUGAUCCAAGCCAUACCUACCUAUGCAAUGUCGGUCUUUAAAAUCCUAAAAAAUAUUGUAAAGGAAUCAUUGACGCGAUGGCACAUUUCUGGUGGGGAGAUGAGGAGAACCAGAAGAGGAUGCAUUGGAUGGCCUGGUGGAAAAUGUGUGUACCAAAAAAACCAAGGAGGAAUGGGAUUCCGUGACAUUCAUUGUUUCAACCUGGCUCUGCUUGCAAAACAAGCAUGGCGUCUCCUUGAUAAUCAUGACUCCUUGUGUGCUACUAUUCUAAGGGCCAAGUACUAUCCUAAUGGUGAU